rnacentral:rRNA from 1 species
AGAGUUUGAUCCUGGCUCAGGAUGAACGCUAGCGGCAGGCUUAAUACAUGCAAGUCGUGGGGCAACAGGUCCGCCGAAAGGCGGAUGCUGGCGACCGGCAAACGGGUGCGGAACACGUACAGAACCUUCCUUUAAGCGGGGGAUAGCCCAGAGAAAUUUGGAUUAAUACCCCAUAGUAAUAUAUGAGUGGCAUCACUUGAUAUUUAAAGAUUUAUCACUUAGAGAUGGCUGUGCGUCUGAUUAGGUAGUUGGUGCGGGUAAUGGCCCACCAAGCCUUCGAUCAGUAACUGGUGUGAGAGCACGACCAGUCACACGGGCACUGAGACACGGGCCCGACUCCUACGGGAGGCAGCAGUAAGGAAUAUUGGUCAAUGGAGGCAACUCUGAACCAGCCAUGCCGCGUGAAGGAUGAAGGCCCUCUGGGUUGUAAACUUCUUUUAUGUGGGAAGAAAUGCAUUCUUUAUAGAGUGUUUGACGGUACCAUAGGAAUAAGCACCGGCUAACUCCGUGCCAGCAGCCGCGGUAAUACGGAGGGUGCAAGCGUUAUCCGGAUUCACUGGGUUUAAAGGGUGCGUAGGUGGGAAUGUAAGUCAGUGGUGAAAUCUCCGUGCUUAACAUGGAAACUGCCAUUGAUACUAUGUUUCUUGAAUUUUCCGGAGGUUAGCGGAAUAUGUCAUGUAGCGGUGAAAUGCUUAGAUAUGACAUAGAACACCAAUUGCGAAGGCAGCUAACUACAGGGAUAUUGACACUGAGGCACGAAAGCGUGGGGAUCAAACAGGAUUAGAUACCCUGGUAGUCCACGCCCUAAACGAUGGAUACUCGACAUACGUGAUAGACAAUGUGUGUCUGAGCGAAAGCAUUAAGUAUCC